UGAGAAGCUGGCUUCAGGGAAGAGUGAAAGGAAAGGAAAAACUAAAAAUAACUACAGAAUCCAAGUAAUUCCCUCUUACACAGAUCAAAAGAAUUUCCUCCUACACAGCUCAGGUGGAAGCUCCCCUCCUUGUGCCCUGGAAGGAUUUACAGGGUCAUCUGGUUACGAGCGUUACAACUUCCAGUUCCAGAGCUCCACUCACGCCCUGUGCCCCGCACCCUACUCUGACCCUCAAAACUCCAAACCUUGGGUCACCUUGGCUUCCAGCAGAGCCCCCCAUGGCUGAGACGACCCUGAAAACAAGAGAAAUCAUCUCAGAGGAACUGAAUCGCCCCUAAAGUCAUGAGGGUUCCUUCUGAGCUACAAGAGCAGGACUGAGAAAAUGGUCUACUGGACCCCAGCCCAUCACAGCGCCCU
rnacentral:lncRNA from 1 species